UGGGGAAUAUUGCACAAUGGGCGAAAGCCUGAUGCAGCAACGCCGCGUGAGUGAUGAAGGUCUUCGGAUUGUAAAGCUCUGUCUUUUGGGACGAUAAUGACGGUACCAAAGGAGGAAGCCACGGCUAACUACGUGCCAGCAGCCGCGGUAAUACGUAGGUGGCGAGCGUUGUCCGGAUUUACUGGGCGUAAAGGGUGCGUAGGCGGAUGUUUAAGUGAGAUGUGAAAUACCCGGGCUUAACUUGGGUGCUGCAUUUCAAACUGGAUAUCUAGAGUGCAGGAGAGGAGAAUGGAAUUCCUAGUGUAGCGGUGAAGUGCGUAGAGAUUAGGAAGAACACCAGUGGCGAAGGCGAUUCUCUGGACUGUAACUGACGCUGAGGCACGAAAGCGUGGGUAGCAAACAGGAUUAGAUACCCUGGUAGUCCACGCCGUAAACGAUGAGUACUAGGUGUAGGAGGUAUCGACCCCUUCUGUGCCGCAGUAAACACAUUAAGUACUCCGCCUGGGAAGUACGAUCGCAAGAUUAAAACUCUAAAGUGAAUUGACGGGGUC
rnacentral:rRNA from 1 species